ensembl:lncRNA
GGGUUCUGUGUGUUCCUUCUGGUGUGUGUGUUACUGUGAUCCUCAUGGUUCUCAUGGUGUGUGUACUGUGUUCUGUGUGUUCCUUAUGGUGUGUGUACUGUGUUCUGUGGUGUUCCUUAUGGUGUGUGUACUGUGUUCUGUGUGUUCCUUAUGGUGUGUGUACUGUGUGUUCCUUAUGGUGUGUGUACUGUGUUCUGUGGUGUUCCUUAUGGUGUGUGUACUGUGUUCUGUGUGUGUUCCUUAUGGUGUGUGGUCUGUGUUCUGUGGUGUUCCUUAUGGUGUGUGUACUGGGUUCUGUGUGUUCCUUAUGGUGUGUGUACUGUGUUCUGUGUGUUCCUUAUGGUGUGUGUACUGUGUUCUGUGGUGUUCCUUAUGGUGUGUGUACUGUGUUCUGUGUGUGUUCCUUAUGGUGUGUGUACUGUGUUCUGUGUGUUCUUUAUGGUGUGUGUACUGUGUGUUCCUUAUGGUGUGUGUACUGGGUUUUGCCUGCAGUCUGGGUUCUGUGUGUUUGGAGAUGCGUGUCCUGCAUGUUCUAUAAGGUGUGUGUCAUGUGUGUUUUGUAAGGUAUGUGUCAUGUGUGUUCUAUAAGGUGUGUAUUCUAUAAGGUGUGUAUUCUAUAAGGUGUGUGUCAUGUGUGUUCUAUAAGGUAUGUGUCAUGUGUGUUCUAUAAGGUAUGUGUCAUGUGUGUUCUAUAAGGUGUGUGUUCUAUAAGGUGUGUAUUCUAUGUGUGUUCUAUAAGGUGUGUGUUCUAUAAGGUAUGUGUCAUGUGUGUUCUAUAAGGUGUGUGUUAUAUGUGUUCUAUAAGGUGUGUGUUCUAUAAGGUGUGUAUUCUAUGUGUGUUCUAUAAGGUGUGUGUUCUAUAAGGUAUGUGUCAUGUGUGUUCUAUAAGGUGUGUAUUCUAUAAGGUAUGUGUUCUAUAAGGUAUGUGUCAUGUGUGUUCUAUAAGGUGUGUAUUCUAUAAAAUAUGUGUUCUAUAAGGUGUGUGUCAUGUGUGUUCUAUAAGGUAUGUGUCAUGUGUGUUCUAUAAGGUAUGUGUCAUGUGUGUUCUAUAAGGUGUGUGUUCUAUAAGGUGUGUAUUCUAUGUGUGUUCUAUAAGGUAUGUGUGUUCUACGUGUUCUGUAAAGUAUGUGUUCUGUGAGAUCUAUGCUUCAGUGUUCAGGGUUCAGUGUAUUUUGUGUUCAGUGCGUGUUGUGCACCCUGUGAUCUUUGCGUUAGUACUG